UACGGAGGGGGCUAGCGUUGUUCGGAAUUACUGGGCGUAAAGCGCGCGUAGGCGGCCCGGCAAGUCGGGGGUGAAAGCCCGAGGCUCAACCUCGGAACUGCCUUCGAUACUGCGGGUCUCGAGUCCGGGAGAGGUGAGUGGAAUUCCCAGUGUAGCGGUGAAAUGCGUAGAUAUUGGGAGGAACACCAGUGGCGAAGGCGGCUCACUGGACCGGUACUGACGCUGAAGCGCGAAAGCGUGGGGAGCAAACGGG
rnacentral:rRNA from 1 species